AAGGGCGCAUGGCGGAUGCCUUGGCUCACGGAGGCGAUGAAGGACGUGAUAAGCUGCGAUAAGCCCCGGGUAGGUGCAAAUGACCUUUGAUCCGGGGAUUUCCGAAUGGGACAACCCGGCAGGCUGGAGGCCUGUCAUCACUACGGAUGUAGUGAGGCGAACGGAGGGAACUGAAACAUCUUAGUACCUCCAGGAAGAGAAAAUAAACUAAUGAUUCCCCCAGUAGCGGCGAGCGAACGGGGAAGAGCCCAAACCGGCGGCGUAGCGAUGCGCCUCCGGGGUUGUAGGACCACGCAGUCGUACUUGGAUUGUGAGAAGAAUGUUCUGGAAAGAACAAUCAUAGAGGGUGAUGAUCCCGUAUUCGAAGCAUGACGAGACGUAGUGGUAUCCUGAGUAACGCGGAACACGUGAAAUUCUGCGCGAAUCCGCCGGGACCAUCCGGCAAGGCUAAAUACUCCCGUGAGACCGAUAGUGUACGAGUACCGUGAGGGAAAGGUGAAAAGCACUCCGACGAGGAGAGUGAAACAGUUCCUGAAACCAUGCGCCUACAAGCGGUCGGAGCCGCGCGAGCGGUGACGGCGUGCCUUUUGCAUAAUGAACCUACGAGUUGCCAUGUCCGGCAAGGAUAAGCGUCAUGAGCCGCGUAUCCGCAGUGAAAGCGAGCCUGAACAGGGCGUCGAGUCAGACGGGGCAGACGCGAAACCAAGUGAUCUACACUUGCCCAGGCUGAAGUCCGGGUAACACCGGAUGGAGGGCCGCACGGAUAAGCGUUGAAAAGCUUCCCGAUGAGGCGAGUGUAGGAGUGAAAGGCCAAUCAAACUUGGAGAUAGCUCGUACUCCCCGAAAGGCAUUUAGGUGCCGCGUGCGGCGUUAUCCGCGAGAGGUAGAGCGACCGGUAGGUCGAGAGGGCUUCGCCGCCUGUCGAGACCUGACGAACUCCGAAUGCUCUCGGAUCGCAGCCGUGCAGUAAGGGGGCGGGUGCUAAGGUCCGUCCCCGAGAGGAGAAGAAUCCAGACCGCCGUCUAAGGUCCCGGAAUUCUGCCUGAGUUAGUCUAACGAAGUCCGGUCCCCGUGACAGCUAGGAUGUUGGCUUGGAAGCAGCCAUUCAUUCAAAGAGUGCGUAACAGCUCACUAGUCGAGGGUCCGGGCGUGGAUAAUAAUCGGGUAUAAGGCAGAUACCGAAGGCGCGGGAUAGCAAUGUAUAUUGAAAGUAUCGGUAGGGGAGCAUUCCAUCGGCGUCGAAUGGUGAGGGUGACCGAUCCUGGAGCUUAUGGAAAAGCAAAUGUAGGUAUGAGUAACGAUAAAAAGGGUGGGAUUCCCUUUCGCCGAAAGACCGAGGUUUCCCGGGCGAUGCCAGUCAGCCCGGGGUCAGUCGGGUCCUAAGUCUCAGCCGAACGGCGAAGGCGAUGGCAGAUGCGGUCAACAUUCCGCAACUCGCAUUAUCAGUGACGUGGAGACGGAGCAGUGACACUGCCGCGCCCUGACGGAACAGGGCGUUUAAGUGCGUAGGCCGUGACAGCGGCAGGCAAAUCCGCCGCUGGAGCUGAAACACGAAAGUACGGCUCUUCCUUCGGGAAGAGCCGAGCGCAGGUAACCAUACUCCCGAGAAAAUCCGCUAAACUCAAUGGUACUGCGACCCGUACCGCAAACGGACACACGUGGUCGGGUAGAACAUACUGAGGCGUUGAGAGAUUCAUGGUCAAGGAACUAGGCAAACUGACCCCGUAACUUCGGGACAAGGGGUCCUCAUGGCGACAUGAGGCGCAGAGAAUAGGUCCAGGCAACUGUUUAACAAAAACACAGGGCUGUGCGAACUCGAAAGAUGAAGUAUACAGCCUGACACCUGCCCGGUGCCGGAAGGUUAAGAGGAGACGUCACCAGCGAUGGGAAGCGUCGAAUUGAAGCCCCGGUAAACGGCGGCCGUAACUAUAACGGUCCUAAGGUAGCGAAAUUCCUUGUCGGGUAAGUUCCGACCUGCACGAAUGGUGUAAUGAUCCGGACGCUGUCUCGACCAUGAUCUCAGUGAAAUUGUAGUAUCGGUGAAGAUGCCGAUUACCCGCGAUGGGACGAAAAGACCCCGUGAACCUUUACUGCAGCUUAGCACUGACCUCGGUCAUCCGAUGUGCAGGAUAGGCCGGAGGCUUCGAAGCGGUCGCGCCAGCGUCCGCGGAGCCGCCCUUGAAAUACGGCCCUUCGGCUGUCUGAGGUCUAACGCGCCUGUGGCGCGGACACUGCUUGGCGGGCAGUUUGACUGGGGUGGUCGCCUCCAAAAGCGUAACGGAGGCUUCCAAAGGUGCCCUCUGACCGAUCGGUAACCGGUCUCAUGGAGUGCAAUGGCAUAAGGGCGCUUGACUGGGAGGCAGACAUGCCGAGCAGGUGGGAAACCAGGGCAUAGUGAUCCGGCGGACGUGCAUGGAAACUCCGUCGCUCAAAGGAUAAAAGGUACUCCGGGGAUAACAGGCUGAUCCCCCCCGAGAGCUCAUAUCGACGGGGUGGUUUGGCACCUCGAUGUCGGCUCGUCACAUCCUGGGGCUGGAGAAGGUCCCAAGGGUUGGGCUGUUCGCCCAUUAAAGUGGCACGCGAGCUGGGUUCAGAACGUCGUGAGACAGUUCGGUCUCUAUCUAUCGUGGGCGCUGGAGUUUUGCGCGGUGCCGUCACUAGUACGAGAGGACCGUGACGGACAGACCUCCGGUCAGCCGGUUGUGCCGCCAGGUGCACCGCCGGGUAUCUGAGUCUGGAACGGAUAAGCGCUGAAAGCAUCUAAGCGCGAAGCCGUCCGCAAGAUGAGAACUCCUCACGAGGGCCGUCACAGACGAUGACGUGGAUAGGGCGCAGGUGU
rnacentral:rRNA from 2 species